rnacentral:misc_RNA from 1 species
CCCUGACUUGAGGAUCCAGCAGGAACCAAGUUGCUAGCUUUGCUGGUGUUGAGAGGCAAAACACCAUGGUUAAACCUCUGAGAAGGAAUACUGAGCUGCUCGUAAAGGGCCAUCUUGUUCCUUGGAGGUGCUCUUGGCCCUCCUUUCUCGGUAUUAUUGACAUGAAGCCUAGGGAACAUAGGCCCCAUUUUCUUUUCAUCAUCAUUCCCUCUCUUCAUCUCCUUCAUCUAUCGCUCAAACGUGAGGCAAACCCAUAACCAAAAAACUUAAUUUCUCAUUUAGCUCAACGGAUGAAGUAACCUCCCAAAAAAACAAAACUUUUUUUGAAACCCAGUUGCAGAAACUGA